rnacentral:rRNA from 1 species
CCUACGGGAGGCAGCAGUGAGGAAUAUUGGUCAAUGGCCGGAAGGCUGAACCAGCCAUGCCGCGUGAAUGUCAGUGCCCUAUGGGCGUUAAACUUCUUUUGUGCGGGAGCAAUAAUGGUCACGUGUGGCCAGACGAGAGUACCGUACGAAUAAGCAUCGGCUAACUCCGUGGCAGCAGCCGCGGUCAUACGGGGGAUGCAAGCGUUAUCCGGAUUUAUUGGGUUUAAAGGGUGCGUAGGCUGGGAGGUAAGUCAGCGGUGAAAUGCCCCCGCUCAACGGGGUGAAGUGCAAUUGAUACUGGCUGGCUGGAGUGCGGAUGCGGUGGGAGGAAGGUGUGGUGUAGCGGUGAAAUGCAUAGAGAUCACACAGAACACCGAUUGCGAAGGCAGCUCACGAAUCCGCGAUUGACGCUGAGGCACGAAAGCGUGGGGAGCAAACAGGAUUAGAUACCCUUGUAGUC